CCGGCAAUUUCUUAGAGAUGGUUUUAAAUAGUGUCAUUAAAUUAUAAAAGUAGAAGUUAACGACGUUAUCUAGAGACGUGUUUUUAUUUCGUAGGUAUGUAACGGCGGUUUAAACCGUCUCUAUGUAUAAUUAAAGGUGAAAAGGGAAAUCUUUAAAUCUUUUUCACGCUGCUCUCACGUUCAGUUUAUCAUUUUCACAGCUUUCUCUUCCAUGCUUUCUCUUUGAUGCUUUCUCUUCAUGGAUGAAGAAGUUUAAAUAGAUUCAUCGAGUAAUUGAUUCAACGAUGCUUACUCUUAAUGCACAAUCUUCUUCCUUACUGAUUUUUUCAUCGAUUCAGAAACUUAUACAGAGUUAUUCUUCAUGGUGCUCAAAGUUCAGAUUACUGCCUCGAGAAUCGAUUGUGAGGUUUCUAUCAGGGAGUGUUAGCUCACUUGCUAGUGCUUACUCUCCUCCUCCAUUUGCAGAUCUCAUUUUCUUUCUUAGUCUUGAAUCAUUAUUUCAUUAAGGUAUUAUACUCUUUUUAGUUUAUUUAUUGUUAGUCUUCUGUGUUACAAUGAGCUUGCUUUCAAAGGGAAUGAACAAAUUUAGAAAAGGGACUGUUAUGUGGACUUUUUAGCUAGAAUUUGUGCAUUUUGUUUCCAUCUACUUUAUCAUUUACCUGUAAGUGACAGAUUGCUGUAAUUUUCAACUCUCUAGAGGCCAAUGGGAAUUUACUGGUUACUUUGAUAUAUUCUCACAAGUUGAACCAGUGGUAAGUUAUUGAGUUCUGUUUGAUGAAUGUGCUAGUUAGGUGUCUAUAUGAAGGUGAUAUGUUUCUGGUUAGUCAAUUGAUAGAGGAAAAUGAUGAAAAUAGAUUCCCAGCCUGGUAAUUUAGUACUUUAUUUGAUAGCACAUGAUCUAUGUUACAUGGAAACUUUUGCCUCUUUCCAUCAAAUUGUUUUGAAGCUAUGUCAUGUCAUAGACUUAAAAGCCGUUUAAAUAUUUUAAUAUUCUGGCUGAUUUUCUAAUUAGGCAAGCAUGAGGACAACACCUUGAUCUGCAUGAUUCUCCUCUCUUAGCUCUAGCAGCUACUGAGUGUCAGUUACUCGAAGCAGAAUAUGAGGAAUAUGCAAUUGCUAAUAGUAGUAGUAUCGCUUGUCUUCGAUCGGUUGUCCUAAUUGAAACCAAAAAUAUGCACAGGGUUUAGAAACGUACUAUGAACGGAUUAUGUCUAGCCCUAAUUUGGUGCUUCACAUGGAGCUUCUCUGCUAAUAUCUAUUGUAUCCUACUUUUUCAGGACUGAAACUUGCGGCUGAGAUUGGAACUCCAAAUAUUGCUAAAUCAGGGGAUACAAAAUAAACGUACAAAUAAAAAAGCUUCAUCGGUUUCAGAAGGUCAAAAGAAUGAGGGAAACAUUAUAUUCUGCUCUUCUUCUCCAGGAUUCUGCCAUUUGUACCAGCUGAUGAGAAAGUGAUUAUUUUUAAGUUGCUUGCCUCGUUAGGGAACAAAGGUGCUGUUUGGACUUGGCUUAUCUAGCCAUGGAUGCUAUCGGAUUGUAAUAUAAUUGUGAGACGCACUACUCCCAUCAGCUAAUUUAUAGCAUGGAUGUCUUACCCAAGUGUUGAUGCUAUAAAUGAUCCCGUCAUGGGAAAAUCAAGUGCGAGGCUCAAGUUGUUAGUGCCAGAAGGAAGCGCUGUCUGAUAAAAAAAUUCCAUACAUGGCUCACAAAAACAGAAGACUUGCCAAAUCAAAGGAAGAAACAUUAAGAGAGCAAGGGGAACAAAAUAGUUUGGCAGGGGAAAGAAUGCAAAAGAUUGAGCUAAUAAAUAUACAAGUGGGAUUGCAAGAUCAUCUUUCAAAGACUUAAUUUUUUCUUGAAUUCAAUAUGAAUUUUUUUGUUGAAGUCACAAAUUCAAAAUGAAUCAACAGAAUCUAAUGUAUCAAUUUUUGACCAUAAACAUUACUAUUUAUUAGUAUUAUAACUUCAGAAAA